UACGUAGGUGGCGAGCGUUAUCCGGAUUUAUUGGGCGUAAAGCGUCCGCAGCCGGUUUUGUAAGUCUAAAAUAAAAGCCUGGGGCUUAACCCCAGAUCGUUUUAGAAACUGCAAGACUCGAGUGUGGUAGAGGCAAAUGGAAUUUCUAGUGUAGCGGUAAAAUGCGUAGAUAUUAGAAGGAACACCAGUGGCGAAGGCGAUUUGCUGGGCCAUAACUGACGGUCAGGGACGAAAGCGUGGGGAGCAAAUA
rnacentral:rRNA from 1 species